rnacentral:lncRNA from 1 species
AGCUGGGCUUCAGACCCUGUGCAUUUAACCACAAGGCUGUAACUGCCUGCUUCUGGGGCUGCUCUUGGGGAAGAAAGAAUUCAAGAAAACCCACCAACCAACCCCCUACAUGUAACAGACUCUGCAAGGGUUAUAACAGAGGCAGGGCCUGGCAUGACUCAACCCAACCUGGUUGGAUGAAUGACACAUUGGCAGGUGGCAAAGCCCACAGAGGAUGGACCCUGAAGGAAGCUACAGAUCUUCGAGCCUUGUCACAACGUUGGGACUUGAGCCCACAGGUUAGGGGGGUUACAUGGGCAGGUCAUGCUCGCUGUGUGUGACCGUCACAGAGGAGCUCAAGAGCAAGGAGUUGGCUGGAAGGAGCAGCUUCUGCGUUUUUAUCCUCUUGGGCAACAGGACUCCUCAAAGUUAAUCUCGCCUCUGGGUUGGCAUCAUAGAGGUGUCCACCUGGGGCACCCGACUCGGAUAGCGUCACCAUGCGUUCACCAACCAGAAACACAAGAGUGA